AGUGAGACUGCCCUCUGCCUGCAGAGAACCCAGCCGAGGCAUGCCUCUGUCAGGCAGGAAGCCGGGGGUCCUGGGCUCUGCUGGGAUGGCCCUGGGUUCGAAUCCUGGCUCCACUACUUCCUUACCUGGGCAAGUCUUGUGCCCUCUUUAGCCCUCAGUCUCCUCUUCUGUAAAGUGGGAGUAAACAUGCUCCCUUGCAGG
rnacentral:lncRNA from 1 species